rnacentral:misc_RNA from 1 species
GAUGAAGAACGUAGCGAAAUGCGAUAAGUAAUGUGAAUUGCAGAAUUCCGUGAAUCAUCGAAUCUUUGAACGCACAUUGCGCCCUCUGGUAUUCCGGGGGGCAUGCCUGUCCGAGCGUCAUUUGCAACCCUCAAGCCCGGCUUGUGUGAUGGGUGCCGUCCCCUACGGGACGCGCCCCGAAGGCAAUGGCGGCGUCGCGGUUAUCCGAUCAGCCAAAGUGUAAGGGGCUUUGUCACUCACUUUACGGCCCGGACCGGCGCCAGUCCGAAUCAAUCUUUUUUCUAAAGUUGACCUCGGAUCAGGUAGGGAUACCCGCUGAACUUAAGCAUAUCAAUAAGCGGAGGA